rnacentral:rRNA from 1 species
GCGUGCCUAGUACAUGCAAGUCGAACGCUUUGUGGUUCAACUGAUUUGAAGAGCUUGCUCAGAUAUGACGAUGGACAUUGCAAAGAGCGGCGAACGGGUGAGUAACACGUGGGAAACCUACCUCUUAGCAGGGGAUAACAUUUGGAAACAGAUGCUAAUACCGUAUAACAAUGACAACCGCAUGGUUGUUAUUUAAAAGAUGGUUCUGCUAUCACUAAGAGAUGGUCCCGCGGUGCAUUAGCUAGUUGGUAAGGUAAUGGCUUACCAAGGCGAUGAUGCAUAGCCGAGUUGAGAGACUGAUUGGCCACAAUGGGACUGAGACACGGCCCAUACUCCUACGGGAGGCAGCAGUAGGGAAUCUUCCACAAUGGGCGAAAGCCUGAUGGAGCAACGCCGCGUGUGUGAUGAAGGGUUUCGGCUCGUAAAACACUGUUGUAAGAGAAGAAUGACAUUGAGAGUAACUGUUCAAUGUGUGACGGUAUCUUACCAGAAAGGAACGGCUAAAUACGUGCCAGCAGCCGCGGUAAUACGUAUGUUCCAAGCGUUAUCCGGAUUUAUUGGGCGUAAAGCGAGCGCAGACGGUUAUUUAAGUCUGAAGUGAAAGCCCUCAGCUCAACUGAGGAAUUGCUUUGGAAACUGGAUGACUUGAGUGCAGUAGAGGAAAGUGGAACUCCAUGUGUAGCGGUGAAAUGCGUAGAUAUAUGGAAGAACACCAGUGGCGAAGGCGGCUUUCUGGACUGUAACUGACGUUGAGGCUCGAAAGUGUGGGUAGCAAACAGGGUUAGAUACCCUGGUAGUCCACACCGUAAACGAUGAGUGCUAGGUGUUUUGAGGGUUUCCGCCCUUAAGUGCCGCAGCUAACGCAUUAAGCACUCCGCCCUGGGGGAGUACGACCGCCAAGGUUGAAACUCAAAAGGAAUUGGACGGGGACCCGCACAAGCGGUGGAACCAUGUGGGUUUAAUUCGAAGCAACGCGAAGAACCUUACCAGGUCUUGACAUCCCUUGACAACUCCCGAGAAAGGAGGCGUUCCCUUCCGGGGACAAAGGUGACAAGGUGGGCCCAAGGGUUGUCCUCCACCUCCUGUCCUGGAAAAAUUUGGGUGUAAAUCCCCCCCACCA